GACGAACGCUGGCGGCGUGCUUAACACAUGCAAGUCGAACGGAAAGGCCUGUCCUUCCUUGUGUUGGACGGGUACUCGAGUGGCGAACGGGUGAGUAACACGUGAGUGAUCUGCCCCCAACUUGGGUAUAAGCCUGGGAAACUGGGUCUAAUUCCCGAUAGGACUGCAGGGUGGUGCCUGUGGUGGAAAACGAUUUUCUAGUGGUUGGGGAUGAGCUCGCGGCCUAUCAGCUUGUUGGUGGGGUAAUGGCCUACCAAGGCGGCGACGGGUAGCCGGCCUGAGAGGGUGGACGGCCACAUUGGGACUGAGAUACGGCCCAGACUGCUACGGGAGGCAGCAGUGGGGAAUAUUGCACAAUGGGCGGAAGCCUGAUGCAGCGACGCCGCGUGGGGGAUGACGGCCUUCGGGUUGUAAACUCCUUUCGACCGCGAGGAAGCCGCCUGGUUGGAAGGGUGGUGACGGUAGUGGUAGAAGAAGCACCGGCUAACUACGUG
rnacentral:rRNA from 1 species